GCCAUUGUAGACAAAAUCAUCAUCGUAUACUAGCUGAUCAGGUGGUGGUGCAUAUAUAACGCCAUAACCUUUCCCAUAUCCCAUAUACAUAUAUAUACGUGUAUAUAACGCCGUUUGAAUACAUACAUAUAUAUAUGCGUAUAUAACGCCAUUUGAAUCAUAUUUCAGCCACUGUGGGCAACAUCAUCAUCAUAUACUAGCUGAUCAGGUGGUGGUGCGUAUAUAACGCCGUAACCUUUUUCCAUAUCCCAUAUACAUAUAUUUACAUAUAUAUGCGUAUAUAACGUCAUCUGGUCAUGGGUCAAUGCAUAUGAAUGCAGUACAUAAAAAGUACGUCAAAAAAAUCAUUCGGAAUGUCAUAAGACCAUUUUGCCUCUGAGUAAUAUUAUAAAGUAAACUCUUUUAAACUUUUGUAUUUUUCUGAGACCCAUGAACCGAUGAUAAGAUAUUAUAACACACGGAAAUUAAAGAACAUAGAUAUCUCUAAUACUUCUAUGAAUAGAGUCAUUCAUGGAAUUUGUGCAUUUGCACGUUCCGUUCGUAUCAUAUGGAUCAUGCCAAAAGAAAGAAGGGAUAGCCUUAACAUACCUGGAGUAGGAGAAACUCCAUAUAAUAUUUCGUUGGAAGACCUUCGUUGUUUGAACGAAAUUUGCCUUUGCUCCUUGAAAAUUCACGGACGAAAAUAUUUUCUGGUUCCUAAAACUUUGGAACGAAUGAUCAUUGAAUUCUUUUGAUUUUGGAGAAAAACAUUUCUGGUUCUUCUUAGUUUUGAAAGAAUGACAUUGAAUUCAUUUUGAUUUUUUUGGAGGAAAAUGUUUUUCUUUGGUUGCUUGAGAAUUUGAGAUGGAACGUUUCUGUUC
rnacentral:lncRNA from 1 species